GUGUCAGCCGCCGCGGUAAUACAGAGGGUGCAAACGUUGCUCGGAAUUAUUGGGCGUAAAGCGCGUGUAGGUGGCACGGUAAGUCGAUUGUGAAAGCCCUUGGCUCAACCAAGGAAGUGCAAUCGAAACUGCCGAGCUUGAGUCCUGAAGAGGGUGGUAGAAUGGCCAGUGUAGAGGUGAAAUUCGUAGAUAUUGGCUAGAAUACCAGUGGCGAAGGCGACCACCUGGGAAGGUACUGACACUGAGACGCGAAAGCGUGGGUAGCAAACAGGAUUAGAAACCCGAGUAGUCC
rnacentral:rRNA from 1 species